AGAGUUUGAUCCUGGCUCAGGAUGAACGCUGGCGGCGUGCCUAAUACAUGCAAGUCGAGCGAACGGACGAGAAGCUUGCUUCUCUGAUGUUAGCGGCGGACGGGUGAGUAACACGUGGAUAACCUACCUAUAAGACUGGGAUAACUUCGGGAAACCGGAGCUAAUACCGGAUAAUAUUUUGAACCGCAUGGUUCAAAAGUGAAAGACGGUCUUGCUGUCACUUAUAGAUGGAUCCGCGCUGCAUUAGCUAGUUGGUAAGGUAACGGCUUACCAAGGCAACGAUGCAUAGCCGACCUGAGAGGGUGAUCGGCCACACUGGAACUGAGACACGGUCCAGACUCCUACGGGAGGCAGCAGUAGGGAAUCUUCCGCAAUGGGCGAAAGCCUGACGGAGCAACGCCGCGUGAGUGAUGAAGGUCUUCGGAUCGUAAAACUCUGUUAUUAGGGAAGAACAUAUGUGUAAGUAACUGUGCACAUCUUGACGGUACCUAAUCAGAAAGCCACGGCUAACUACGUGCCAGCAGCCGCGGUAAUACGUAGGUGGCAAGCGUUAUCCGGAAUUAUUGGGCGUAAAGCGCGCGUAGGCGGUUUUUUAAGUCUGAUGUGAAAGCCCACGGCUCAACCGUGGAGGGUCAUUGGAAACUGGAAAACUUGAGGGCAGAAGAGGAAAGUGGAAUUCCAUGUGUAGCGGUGAAAUGCGCAGAGAUAUGGAGGAACACCAGUGGCGAAGGCGACUUUCUGGUCUGUAACUGACGCUGAUGUGCGAAAGCGUGGGGAUCAAACAGGAUUAGAUACCCUGGUAGUCCACGCCGUAAACGAUGAGUGCUAAGUGUUAGGGGGUUUCCGCCCCUUAGUGCUGCAGCUAACGCAUUAAGCACUCCGCCUGGGGAGUACGACCGCAAGGUUGAAACUCAAAGGAAUUGACGGGGACCCGCACAAGCGGUGGAGCAUGUGGUUUAAUUCGAAGCAACGCGAAGAACCUUACCAAAUCUUGACAUCCUUUGACAACUCUAGAGAUAGAGCCUUCCCCUUCGGGGGACAAAGUGACAGGUGGUGCAUGGUUGUCGUCAGCUCGUGUCGUGAGAUGUUGGGUUAAGUCCCGCAACGAGCGCAACCCUUAAGCUUAGUUGCCAUCAUUAAGUUGGGCACUCUAAGUUGACUGCCGGUGACAAACCGGAGGAAGGUGGGGAUGACGUCAAAUCAUCAUGCCCCUUAUGAUUUGGGCUACACACGUGCUACAAUGGACAAUACAAAGGGCAGCGAAACCGCGAGGUCAAGCAAAUCCCAUAAAGUUGUUCUCAGUUCGGAUUGUAGUCUGCAACUCGACUACAUGAAGCUGGAAUCGCUAGUAAUCGUAGAUCAGCAUGCUACGGUGAAUACGUUCCCGGGUCUUGUACACACCGCCCGUCACACCACGAGAGUUUGUAACACCCGAAGCCGGUGGAGUAACCUUUUAGGAGCUAGCCGUCGAAGGUGGGACAAAUGAUUGGGGUGAAGUCGUAACAAGUUAGCCGUAUCGGAAGGUGCGGCUG
rnacentral:rRNA from 1 species